GAUGAACGCUGGCGGCGUGCCUAAUACAUGCAAGUCGAGCGAACAGACCAGUAGCUUCCUCCUCUGACGUUAGCGGCGGACGGGUCAGUAACACGUGGAUAACCUACCUAUAAGAAAGGGAUAACUUCGGGAAACCGGAGCUAAUACCGGAUAAUAUAUUGAACCGCAUGGUUCAAUAGUGAAAGACGGUUUUGCUGUCACUUAUAGAUGGCUCAGCGCCGCAUUAGCAAGUUGGUAAGGUAACGGCUUACCAAGGCAACGAUGCGUACCCGACCUGAGCGGGUGAUCGGCCACACUGUAACUGAGACACGGUCCAGACUCCUACGGGAGGCAGCAGUAGGGAAUCUUCCGGAAUGGGCGAAAGCCUGACGUAGCAACGCCGCGUGAGUGAUGAAGGUCUUCGGAUCGUAAAACUCUGUUAUUAGGGAAGAACAAAUGUGUAAGUAACUAUGCACGUCUUGACGGUACCUAAUCAAAAAGCCACGGCUAACUACGUG
rnacentral:rRNA from 1 species